GACAGAGGUGCCGAGCGUUAGGCGGAAUCACUGGGCUUAAAGCGUGUGUAGGCGGAUCUGUAAGUACCUUGUGAAAUCCCACGGCUCGACCGUGGAACUGCUUGGUAUACUGCGGGUCUUGAGCCACCUAGGGGCAAGUGGAACAAACGGUGGAGCGGUGAAAUGCGUAGAUAUCGUUUGGAACGCCAAUGGUGAAAACAACUUGCUGGGGGUGUGCUGACGCUGAGACACGAAAGCCAGGGGAGCAAACGGG
rnacentral:rRNA from 1 species